rnacentral:tRNA from 1 species
UGGUCCGUGGUGUAACUGGCAACACGUCUGAUUUUGGUUCAGAAGAGUCCAGGUUCGAAACCUGGCGGACCAA